ACUUUUACAGGUAGAAUAGUAAAGCACAGUGUUGAUUGCCCAAGAUUUAUUUUACUUUGAAAAAAUUAGAAAUUUAUUACUAUAGCAAAUGUCUAGAACUUUGGAAACAAGU